rfam:Felis catus isolate Cinnamon breed Abyssinian chromosome C1, whole genome shotgun sequence.
GCCUGGGUGGCUCAGUCGGCUGGGCAUCUGACUUUGGCUCAGGUCAUGAUCUCACGGUUCAUGGGUUCGAGCCCCACAUCGGGCU